rnacentral:rRNA from 1 species
CCGCCGGCGACCGGCGCACGGGUGAGUAACACGUAUGCAACCGUGGCCGUGACAGAUGGAUAACCGGGAGAAAUCCCGCCUAAUACAACAUAAUGCCGGGAGGGGGACAUCCCCUGCCGGUCAAAAGGGGGCGACCCCGGUCACGGAUGGGCAUGCGGCGCAUUAGGUAGUUGGUGGGGCAACGGCCCACCAAGCCGACGAUGCGUAGGGGUUCUGAGAGGAAGGUCCCCCACAUUGGAACUGAGACACGGUCCAAACUCCUACGGGAGGCAGCAG